CCUACGGGUCGCACCAGUGGGGAAUAUUGGACAAUGGGCGCAAGCCUGAUCCAGCCAUGCCGCGUGAGUGAAGAAGGCCUUAGGGUUGUAAUGCUCUUUCACCGGUGAAGAUAAUGACGGUAACCGGAGAAGAAGCCCCGGCUAACUUCGUGCCAGCAGCCGCGGUAAUACGAAGGGGGCUAGCGUUGUUCGGAAUUACUGGGCGUAAAGCGCGCGUAGGCGGAUAGAUAAGUCAGAGGUGAAAUCCCGGGGCUCAACCCCGGAAUUGCCUUUGAUACCGUUUACCUUGAGUGCAGAAGAGGUAAGUGGAAUUCCGAGUGUAGAGGUGAAAUUCGUAGAUAUUCGGAGGAACACCAGUGGCGUAGGCGGCUUACUGGUCUGCAACUGACGCUGAGGCGCGAAAGCGUGGGGAGCAAACAGGAUUAGAUACCCCAGUAGUC
rnacentral:rRNA from 1 species